AGUGUCAAGGGAUGGGAAUCGAACCCACGACCUUCAGCUUACCGGGCAGAUGCCAUGACCACUAGGCCACAUGACC
rnacentral:tRNA from 1 species